rnacentral:rRNA from 1 species
AUGGAAGAUCAGGCGGAAGAGGCGGAGGCAAAUUGGGGCCAGUACGAACCAGAUCGUGAUUUGGAAGAUGUGUUUGUAAACCUUAAACUUCAAGGAGAAGAGGAGGAAGACCUAGAUUUGUCCGGUGAAUUUGCAGAGCUGGUUAAGGACGUGCGCUGGAUGGCUUUGUUUAGGGUUCAUACACUGCGACCGUUUAGUCAUGCUUCCUUGCUAAACUCCAUGAGGAAUGCGUGGGCUUGUGCACAAGGGGUGACUUUUAACAUCAAGGGACCCAAUUUGUUCUUGGCUCAAUGCCAUUGUUUGGGAGAUUGGAAGAGGGUAAUGGAAGGGGGUCCUUGGCAGUUCAGGAGGGAUCCGGUGGUGCUGGUAGAAUAUGAUGGCUUCUCUAACGUGGAGGAGUAUGACCUGAACAUGUACCCAUUGUGGGCCAGGAUAAAAGGAUUGCCAGACGGAUUAACAAGGAAGAAGGAAUUGGCUGAGAAGGUAGCAAAGAAGGUAGGAGAACCCCCGUUCACAGUAACGGUGAAUGAAGGGAGAAUUAACCCAUCAAAUUUCCUGAGGGUUCGGGUGUUUGUGAUGUAUCUUUGCCAUUAG